AUAACUGAAGCUUCCGAGUGCCUAACUAUAGAUGAAGCAACAUUGUCAUAUAAAAAAGUUCGUAUCAUUUGAGUUUUGUCAACUUCUUGCAAUAAAUUGACGUUCAAGAAACAGUGUUUCUUGCUAUUCCAAGCUAUGGUGGGUUGCUUUGGUUCAUCGCCCUUUGAUCCAGCUGAAGGCUUACGCAGUGGGAAGUGGAUGGUGAAGAAGAAGAAGAAGAAGAAGGCUAUUUCCGGUAUUUUAAGACCUACCUUGCUUAUGCUUAUGUUGCAAAUGUGCACGGUUGAAGCACAAUCUGUGAAUCUUCCUCCAGAUGAAGAUAAAGCUCUACGUGAAAUUACAACACAACUGGGAAAAUUUCACAGUAGAACGUUUCAGCAUUAACAAUACAAUCUGGAAGCAACCAAGCUUCGCUCAAAAUUACGAGUACAACAAUAGUGUCCUCUGCGAUUACACAGGCCUGGAUGAAUUUUGCCAUGUUUUUCACAUUCUUCUCAGAGAGCAAGAUUUUGAUGGUGUGCUUCCAACAUCAAUUACGAAGCUGCCUUUCCUUAAGGGACUUGAUCUGACUCGUAACUACCUUAGUGGCAAUAUACCGCCUGAAUGGGUUUCCACAAAAUUGGAAAUUCUGACCAUUUCAGUGAACCGAUUAACAGCUCAGAUUCCAAGUUACUUGGGAGAGAUCACCUCGCUCAAAUACUUGAACUUAGAGAACAAUCUGUUUUAUGGAAGUGUUCCUGUUGAGCUUGGAAAGUUGGUUGAUUUGCAUACUCUAAUUCUUAAUGCCAACAAUCUCUCCGGAUCGUUACCUCAGGAACUCACUAAGAUCACCAAAUUAACAGAUUUUAGGAUUAGCGGUAACAAUUUCAGUGGAAAAAUACCCAGUUUUAUUCAGAGUUGGAAACAACUUGAGAGGAUAGAGAUUCAAGCUAGUGGUCUUGAAGGGCCUAUUCCCUCUAGCAUUUCUGUCUUGACUUAUUUAACUGAUCUAAGGAUCAGUGACUUACUUGGGGAAGGUUCUGAGUUUCCGAAUUUACAAAACAUGACAAAAAUGAAAUAUUUGACUUUGAGGAACUGCAAUAUAUCUGGACCUUUCCCUGACUACAUAAUGAAUAUUGGAAGUCUGAACCUUAUAGAUCUCAGUUUCAAUAGAUUGACUGGAAAUCCUCCAGAACCAAAAAAUAAAGAACUGGCAAUCUGUAUGGCGAACAACUUGCUAAAUGGAUCCAUCCCAGAAUGGAUCAUCAAAAGACCUAUAAAAAGUGCAAUCGAUAUUUCUUACAAUAAUUUUUCUGGAACUCCUGACCCAAGUUAUUGUCAACAAAAUCUGAAUUUGUUCAAAAGCACAUCCGGAGGGAACAAUUCAAAGGCUGUGGAGUGCUUCGGCGACCUUCCUUGUUUAAAAGAUUAUUAUUCGUUGCAUAUAAACUGCGGUGGAGGACCAAUCGCCAUUGGGAAGUUCCGCCAUGAAGCAGAUGAAGGGUAUGGAGGUGAAGCACAAUAUGUUCCCUCGAAAGACAACUGGGCAUUUAGUACCAGUGGACAUUUUCGGGAUAAAAAUAACACAGCAGACAUGUACAUAGCAAAAAAUGUGUCCAUACUACGAAUGAGCAGCUCUGAGUUGUACACACGUGCACAUCUAUCUCCCCUCUCUCUCACAUACUAUGCACGUUGUUUAGCGAAUGGGAAUUACACUGUGAAGCUUCACUUUGCAGAGAUAGUAAUCAGGGACAAUAGAUCCUUCCAAAGUCUGGGAAGACGUAUAUUUGAUGUUUAUAUCCAGGAUGAACGCGUGUUGAAGGAUUUUGAAAUCAAGAAGGAAGCACAAGGGGUAGAUAAAGAACUAAUUAAACAAUUUAAAGCUGUUGUUAAGGAUGGAACUUUAGAGAUCCGCUUUCGAUGGGUUGGGAAAGGAACAACAACUGCCCCCCUUAAAGGAAUAUAUGGUCCUCUCAUAUCUGCCAUUGAUGUGCAAGCUGAUUUCAAGCCUCCUAUAAACCGGAAGAAAUUCAUUGUGGCUGGAGCUAUUGUUUUGCCAUUGUUCCUCAUUUUCAUUAUCAUGGGCACUCUUUGGUGGAAAGGUUGUCUAGGAGGCAGGGUAUUAAGGGAAAGAGAUCUUAAAGGUCUGGAUCUGCAAACUGGUUCCUUCACUUUGAGACAACUAAGAGCCGCCACUAACAAUUUUGAUUCCGCAAACAAGAUUGGAGAAGGUGGUUUUGGGUCUGUAUACAAGGGUGAAUUAUUAGAUGGUACCAUUAUUGCUGUGAAGCAACUAUCUUCCAAAUCCAAGCAAGGAAACCGUGAAUUUGUGAAUGAAAUAGGAAUGAUAUCUGGUUUACAGCACAAAAAUCUCGUAAAACUUUAUGGAUGUUGUAUUGAAGGAAAUCAGUUACUGUUGGUAUAUGAGUACAUGGAAAACAAUAGCCUUGCAUAUGCACUCUUUGGUUCAGAAACAAGUUCUCUGAUGUUGGACUGGGCAACAAGACAGAAGAUUUGUGUAGGAAUAGCUAGAGGUCUAGUAUUUCUCCAUGAAGAAUCAGCACUUAGGAUCGUCCAUAGAGACAUCAAAGCAACCAAUGUCCUGCUUGAUAAGGACCUGAAUGCCAAGAUAUCAGAUUUUGGACUAGCAAAGCUCUGUGAGGAGGAGAAUACUCAUAUUAGCACCAGAAUUGCAGGAACCAUAGGAUAUAUGGCUCCAGAAUAUGCACUCUGGGGUUAUCUAACAGAAAAGGCAGAUGUUUACAGCUUUGGGGUUGUUGCUCUGGAAAUUGUCAGUGGAAGGAGCAAUGCCAGUUACAGGCCGAAAAAUGAGGCUGUUUGUCUUCUUGACUGGGCUUUUAUUUUACAACAAAAAGGAAAUUUAAUGGAGAUAGUGGACCCAAGGUUGGAAUCUGAAUUCAACGUGGAAGAGGCUGAAAGGAUGCUUAAUGUGGCUCUUUUGUGCACGAAUGCAUCACCAAUGAUAAGGCCUACAAUGUCAGCUGCUCUGAGUAUGCUUGAAGGACAAACGAGCAUUAAGGAAGUGGUAUCUGAUCCUAACAUUUACGCUGAUGGCCUGCGAUUUCCCAUCAAGGAUCAUUACCAGCAAACGUCACACGAUGGUUCCAGCACAAGCCAUGCACCUAUUUUUAUGUCUGAUAGUACAGGGAUUGGAUCUUCCACUACAUCUGCUCAUGAUCUCUACCCAGUUAAUCGUGAGUCCAUAAGUUUUGACGUCAGUGAAACUUCGCCACUUUCAUACUAGUGUUAUGUUCAAUAAGCAAGAGAGUUUCGAAAUUUCAUAUGGUUCAGGUGCUUGUUUAAUUUAUGUUGUUGUAACAUAAUUCUCUUCAUGUGAAAUAAUCUAGGAAACAGAAAUUUUGAUGUGUGAUUAACUUAUUAAAUAUGUUUGUUUGAAGUUUGGUUGCCAGGAAAAUGAAAUGUCUAUUUUCAGCAUCCUAAA